UACGAAGGGGGCGAGCGUUGUUCGGAUUUACUGGGCGUAAAGGGCGCGUAGGCGGCCCUCUUUGUCGCGUGUGAAAGCCCCGGGCUCAACCUGGGAAUUGCGCGCGAAACGGGGGGGCUUGAGUUCGGGAGAGGAGCGUGGAAUUCCCAGUGUAGAGGUGAAAUUCGUAGAUAUUGGGAAGAACACCGGUGGCGAAGGCGGCCAUCUGGACCGCAACUGACGCUGAGGCGCGAAAGCGUGGGGAGCAAACAGG
rnacentral:rRNA from 1 species